UACAGAGGUCCCAAGCGUUGUUCGGAUUCAUUGGGCGUAAAGGGUGCGUAGGCGGCGCGGUAAGUCGGGUGUGAAAUCUCGGAGCUUAACUCCGAAACUGCAUUCGAUACUGCCGUGCUUGAGGACUGGAGAGGAGACUGGAAUUUACGGUGUAGCGGUGAAAUGCGUAGAUAUCUGGAGGAAUACCGGUGGCGAAGGCGGCAUCCUGGACCGGCAUUGACGCUGAACAGCGAAAGCUAGGGGAGCAAACGGG
rnacentral:rRNA from 1 species